GGUUAAGUUAGAAAGGGCGCACGGUGGAUGCCUUGGCACUAGGAGCCGAUGAAGGACGGGACGAACACCGAUAUGCUUCGGGGAGCUGUAAGCAAGCUUUGAUCCGGAGAUUUCCGAAUGGGGAAACCCACCACUCGUAAUGGAGUGGUAUCCAUAUCUGAAUUCAUAGGAUAUGAGAAGGCAGACCCGGGGAACUGAAACAUCUAAGUACCCGGAGGAAGAGAAAGCAAAUGCGAUUCCCUGAGUAGCGGCGAGCGAAACGGGAUUAGCCCAAACCAAGAGGCUUGCCUCUUGGGGUUGUAGGACACUCUGUACGGAGUUACAAAGGAACGAGGUAGAUGAAGAGGUCUGGAAAGGCCCGCCAUAGGAGGUAACAGCCCUGUAGUCAAAACUUCGUUCUCUCCUGAGUGGAUCCUGAGUACGGCGGAACACGUGAAAUUCCGUCGGAAUCCGGGAGGACCAUCUCCCAAGGCUAAAUACUCCCUAGUGACCGAUAGUGAACCAGUACCGUGAGGGAAAGGUGAAAAGCACCCCGGAAGGGGAGUGAAAGAGAUCCUGAAACCGUGUGCCUACAAGUAGUCAGAGCCCGUUAACGGGUGAUGGCGUGCCUUUUGUAGAAUGAACCGGCGAGUUACGAUCCCGUGCAAGGUUAAGCAGAAGAUGCGGAGCCGCAGCGAAAGCGAGUCUGAAUAGGGCGCAUGAGUACGUGGUCGUAGACCCGAAACCAGGUGAUCUACCCAUGUCCAGGGUGAAGUUCAGGUAACACU
rnacentral:rRNA from 1 species